rnacentral:tRNA from 1 species
UUCAGCUUGGCAGAGAAAUGCAAUAAAUUUAGAAUUUAUGUAUGAAAAAUUUCAGUUGGAA